GCGCUCGUAGCUCAGCUGGACAGAGCACCGGACUACGAAUCCGUAGGUCGCAAGUUCGAAUCUUGCCGGGCGCGCCA
rnacentral:tRNA from 1 species